AAAUGCAAAAAAGUAUAUAAUCUCAAAACUGAUAUUAAUUAGUGGCAACACUAUGCAUUAUAAAACAGUCAUCCAUAGCUAGCGCUGAGAUGGUUUUCGUGGUGUACAAGAAGAUAACGCAACUAAAACUGAAAUUUUUUCCGGUCUUGGCAAAAUAUUAUUGAAAAAAAAAUCACAAAACAGACGUAAAUAAUGUAUUUAAUCUUUCACCAUUCUUCAACUUCCUUUCAUAUAUUACCGUGAAUAUGAUGAUAGCUAAUGACUUAUAAAGUAUACAACUUGGAGAUGAAAAAAUGUACAGACAAAAAUGCCACUAUUGUAUAAUACAUAGCAUAUUUAUCGAGAGUCCUUACAGACAAAAUAUUUAUCUCCUCGAUGAAAAACAUUUUAUUUUACAUAUUAUUAGAAAAAUGUGGAGCCCAAAUUCGUCGUCUUUAAGUAGACUAUGAUUGAUCAAUAUUAACUGUUUAAUAAAUAAUUCAUAAGGCAAGCACAGCAAGAACAAGAGCAUUUCUUAUAAAUUAAAAAUCUUCCAACGAGCUCUAUAGAAUAACUACAAUAUUAAAAUAUGAUAAUGUACUCAAGUGAAAGCUUAUU